rnacentral:rRNA from 1 species
GACGGACGCUGGCGGCGUGCUUAACACAUGCAAGUCGAACGGAAAGGCCCCAGCUUGCUGGGGUACUCGAGUGGCGAACGGGUGAGUAACACGUGGGUGAUCUGCCCUGCACUCUGGGAUAAGCCUGGGAAACUGGGUCUAAUACCGGAUAGGACCGUGCUUUAGUGUGUGCGGUGGAAAGUUUUUCGGUGCAGGAUGAGCCCGCGGCCUAUCAGCUUGUUGGUGGGGUAAUGGCCUACCAAGGCGGCGACGGGUAGCCGGCCUGAGAGGGUGGACGGCCACAUUGGGACUGAGACACGGCCCAGACUCCUACGGGAGGCAGCAGUGGGGAAUAUUGCACAAUGGGCGGAAGCCUGAUGCAGCGACGCCGCGUGGGGGAUGACGGCCUUCGGGUUGUAAACCCCUUUCGGCAGGGACGAAGCUUUUGUGACGGUACCUGCAUAAGAAGCACCGGCUAACUACGUG